rnacentral:sRNA from 1 species
GCUGCCGGGGCUGCCGCUCUAAAAGUUAGGUGGUACACCCACAACGAAUUGCUGAUGACAAGAGAAGAAAGUGAUGGGAUGGGUAGUAGGGAGAGUAGGGAUGGAUGCAGUUUAUCUCACCAGUUCUCUUUCUACCACGAGGCAUUUCCAAGGUUGUCCACGAGGUGGUUCUUUGGUCACUCUGGCGUUUCUUUUUGGCGCCUAGGAUGCUUUUACGGUAUCUAGAGAGGUUCAAUCAAUCAGCUUUCCCACAGGCCAUAUGAUGGUGACGCGAGAUGGAGAUCCGAGAGAAGGAUACACGCUAUGAUGUACAGAUAAGGGGG